GAUAUUUUAUCUCUAUUACUUCUGUCAAACAUGUUCUCCUCUCCCAGGUUCCAUUGUUGAUCUUCAGCCCUUUUCACUUGGGGGUGAAAGCCUGUAGUGGUGGUCAAACAAAGAUAAGAUAAGUAUAAAUUCUUCAAUAACUAAAGUUAAAAUCAUAGUGUAAUGAAGUAGCAUAGCUAGCUAGAUCUCAAGUUGUAUAAUAAUGUCGAAAAUGAAAGCUUUAUAAUAGAAGUCAGAGUGUAGGUGUUGGUUGAAUUAACUUACAGCAAAAAUGGUAGCAUGGCCAGGAUCUGAAAGGUGGGCAAAGAGGUUGUCAAUAGGACCAGUGCCAGUAUAUAUAUGCUGGAACCAUGCACCCAUCACAGCCAACAUGGCCAAUCUACCAUUCUUGAUCUCCUUAGUUCUCAACUCCUUGAUCUUCUGGGGAGAGCCACUUCCCCAUCCAAGGGGGUCAAACCAAAGCCCACCUGGGUAACCAACAUCAGUUCCUGUGAGCUUGUUGUUGGGAAAGAUGGGGUCAGUGUUGACACACCCUGGCUUGAUUAUGUCAGCCCAUCUUCUACCCUCAGCCCACCCAAUGAAAAAGAGCUCAACAAUGAAGAGGGUAGUGGUGUCUGUGAAGUAUUCCUGUUCUCCAGCUGAGU
rnacentral:lncRNA from 1 species